GGCCUUUCGGGGUACACGAGCGGCGAACGGGUGAGUAACACGUGGGUGAUCUGCCCUGCACUCUGGGAUAAGCUUGGGAAACUGGGUCUAAUACCGGAUAUGACCACAGCAUGCAUGUGUUGUGGUGGAAAGAUUUAUCGGUGCAGGAUGGGCCCGCGGCCUAUCAGCUUGUUGGUGGGGUAAUGGCCUACCAAGGCGACGACGGGUAGCCGACCUGAGAGGGUGACCGGCCACACUGGGACUGAGACACGGCCC
rnacentral:rRNA from 1 species